rnacentral:lncRNA from 1 species
CAUGAUCUCAAAAGGUAGUGACCAGUCUGAAGAUUGGAUGAUUAAAGCUUUGGUCACAACUUCUAUUAGAAACUCAUAAGACUUAAGAUAUUCUUCAUCAAAUUUAAAAGGAACAUCCUUAACGAGCAGAUUAUACAAAGGAUGGGAUGUUUUAGAAAAGUAUUUGAUGAAGCGAUGGUAUAAUCCUACAUGGCCCAAGAA